AACGAACGCUGGCGGCAUGCCUAACACAUGCAAGUCGAACGAGACCUUCGGGUCUAGUGGCGCACGGGUGCGUAACGCGUGGGAACCUGCCCUUAGGUUCGGAAUAACUCCCCGAAAGGGGUGCUAAUACCGGAUAAUGUCUUCGGACCAAAGAUUUAUCGCCUUUGGAUGGGCCCGCGUUGGAUUAGCUAGUUGGUAGGGUAAAAGCCUACCAAGGCGACGAUCCAUAGCUGGUCUGAGAGGAUGAUCAGCCACACUGGGACUGAGACACGGCCCAGACUCCUACGGGAGGCAGCAGUGGGGAAUAUUGGACAAUGGGCGAAAGCCUGAUCCAGCAAUGCCGCGUGAGUGAUGAAGGACUUAGGGUUGUAAAGCUCUUUUAACCGGGAUGAUAAUGACAGUACCGGGAGAAUAAGCUCCGGCUAACUCCGUG
rnacentral:rRNA from 1 species